GCCAGUGUGAUGAAAUUGGUAGACAUGAGGGAUUCAAAAUCCCUUGCUCGCAAGAGCGUGGCGGUUCGAGUCCGCCCACUGGUACCA
rnacentral:tRNA from 9 species